rnacentral:rRNA from 1 species
GAAAUUGAACUCGCUGUGAAGAUGCAGUGUACCCGCGGCAAGACGGAAAGACCCCGUGAACCUUUACUAUAGCUUGACACUGAACAUUGAGCCUUGAUGUGUAGGAUAGGUGGGAGGCUUUGAAGUGUGGACGCCAGUCUGCAUGGAGCCGGCCUUGAAAUACCACCCUUUAAUGUUUGAUGUUCUAACGUGGACCCGUGAUCCGGGUUGCGGACAGUGUCUGGUGGGUAGUUUGACUGGGGCGGUCUCCUCCUAAAGAGUAACGGAGGAGCACGAAGGUUGGCUAAUCCUGGUCGGACAUCAGGAGGUUAGUGCAAUGGCAUAAGCCAGCUUGACUGCGAGCGUGACGGCGCGAGCAGGUGCGAAAGCAGGUCAUAGUGAUCCGGUGGUUCUGAAUGGAAGGGCCAUCGCUCAACGGAUAAAAGGUACUCCGGGGAUAACAGGCUGAUACCGCCCAAGAGUUCAUAUCGACGGCGGUGUUUGGCACCUCGAUGUCGGCUCAUCACAUCCUGGGGCUGAAGUAGGUCCCAAGGGUAUGGCUGUUCGCCAUUUAAAGUGGUACGCGAGCUGGGUUUAGAACGUCGUGAGACAGUUCGGUCCCUAUCUGCCGUGGGCGCUGGAGAA